UAGUUUGAUCCUGGUCAGGAGAAAGAAGGGGGCGUGCUUAACACAUGCAGGUCGAACGGAGCGAUUUAUUUCGGUAAAUCGCUUAGUGGCAAACGGGUGAGUAACGCGUAGGCAACCUGCCCUCAGGAUGGGGACAACGGCUCGAAAGAACCGCUAAUACCGAAUGACGUAACUCUUCCACAUGGAAGAGAUACUAAAGAUGGGUCAAACCAUCGCCUAAGGAUGGGCCUGCGUCUGAUUAGCCAGUUGGUGAGGUAACGGCUCACCAAAGCGACGAUCAGUAGCCGGUCUGAGAGGAUGAACGGCCACAGUGGGACUGAGACACGGCCCAUACUCCUACGGGAGGCAGCAGUGGGGAAUCUUCCGCAAUGGGCGAAAGCCUGACGGAGCAACGCUGCGUGAGUGAAGAAGGUCUUCGGAUCGUAAAGCUCUGUUGUCGGGGACGAAAGAGUAGACGAGGAAAUGCGUCUACUAAGACGGUACCUGACGAGGAAGCCACGGCUAACUACGUGCCAGCAGCCGCGGUAAUACGUAGGCGGCAAGCGUUGUCCGGAAUUAUUGGGCGUAAAGGGAGCGCAGGUGGGACGGUAAGUCCGUCUUAAAAAGCAGGGGCUCAGCCCCUGUAAGGGAUGGAAACUAUCGAUCUUGAGUGCCGGAGAGGAAGGCGGAAUUCCCAGUGUAGCGGUGAAAUGCGUAGAUAUUGGGAAGAACACCAGUGGCGAAGGCGGCUUUCUGGACGGCAACUGACACUGAGGCUCGAAAGCCAGGGGAGCGAACGGGAUUAGAUACCCCGGUAGUCCUGCCCGUAAACGAUGGAUACUAGGUGUAGGAGGUAUCGACCCCUCCUUGUGCCUGAUUAACGCAAGUAAGU
rnacentral:rRNA from 1 species